UGCACCCAUCAGAUCCACUCCCUCUUAUUCAUUCCUGCUUCCUCCUACUCGCUCCACACAUUGCCAUACAUUUGGUCUGUCAGGAGUUCCUCCUUGGCACUUCCACCUCUACUUCCCCUAAAUCCACACCUUGGUCCCACAAGGAAGAAAAUGUUCUAUAGUCUGAUCAAGCAACUACCCUGGGAAAGGCACAAUGCUUUCUCCUGUCACAAUAUUGAGAAAAAUUGAAAUGGGGAAGAAAGACCACCAGAUGCUUUAUUGUCUUAGGCGUUUCCACAUAAUUAGCUGGGAAUAAAG